rnacentral:rRNA from 1 species
UACAGAGGGGUCAAGCGUUGUUCGGAUUCAUUGGGCGUAAAGGGUGCGUAGGCGGCGCGGUAAGUCGGGUGUGAAAUCUUGGAGCUUAACUCCGAAACUGCAUUCGAUACUGCCGUGCUUGAGCACUGGAGAGGAGACUGGAAUUUACGGUGUAGCGGUGAAAUGCGUAGAUAUCGUAAGGAAGACCAGUGGCGAAGGCGGGUCUCUGGACAGUUACUGACGCUGAGGCACGAAGGCCAGGGGAGCAAACGGG